CACGCUGUAAACGAUGGAUACUUGUUGUUGGAGGUAUUGACCCCUUCAGUGACGAAGCUAACGCGUUAAGUAUCCCGCCUGGGGAGUACGGUCGCAAGAUUAAAACUCAAAGAAAUUGACGGGGGCCCGCACAAGCGGUGGAGCAUGUGGUUUAAUUCGAUGCAACGCGAAGAACCUUACCUGGGCUUGACAUGAACUGGAAGGGUGGCAGAAAUGUCCCCGCCCGCAAGGGCCGGUUUACAGGUGC
rnacentral:rRNA from 1 species